AAACCUUUACACUGCACGCAAGUGCGAUAAGGGGACCCCAAGUGCGAGGGCAUAUAGUCCUCGCUUUUCACGACUGUAAGGCGGUNGUGGAAUAAGAGCUGGGCAAGACCGGUGCCAGCCGCCGCGGUAAUACCGGCAGCUCAAGUGAUGACCGAUAUUAUUGGGCCUAAAGCGUCCGUAGCCGGCCACGAAGGUUCAUCGGGAAAUCCGCCAGCUCAACUGGCGGGCGUCCGGUGAAAACCACGUGGCUUGGGACCGGAAGGCUCGAGGGGUACGUCCGGGGUAGGAGUGAAAUCCCGUAAUCCUGGACGGACCACCGAUGGCGAAAGCACCUCGAGAAGACGGAUCCGACGGUGAGGGACGAAAGCUAGGGUCUCGAACCGGAUUAGAUACCCGGGUAGUCCUAGCUGUAAACGAUGCUCGCUAGGUGUGACACAGGCUACGAGCCUGUGUUGUGCCGUAGGGAAGCCGAGAAGCGAGCCGCCUGGGAANACUCCGC
rnacentral:rRNA from 1 species